UGCAGGAACCGAACUCCAUCCGAACUUCUCUAGCAGAUGGAUUCCAGAUGAACUUCUACAACGGAUGGGCUCCAGCAGCUAGAUUUCUACAGUGACCGACUAUCUCUGGUGUCCUCCGUACCUCUCCAGCCAUCAACCUUCAACAGCAUCAAUCGGACUUCAAUAGUGCCAACCAGACCCCUCCAGCGGACAAAUUUCCUCCAGACCCCUCCAGCG
rnacentral:lncRNA from 1 species